GUUAGGAAGCUCAGUUGUCUGAGUGUUGGACUCGUAAUUUGAAGGCCCGGGUUUGAAUCCUGUACUUUCAACU